AGUCAAGCAAAGGUGAAAGCACUGUGCGUGACAGGCUUCAGGCAUGUGACCCUGGGGCCUGGGGUCAGCACCUCCCUACAGGAGGCUCCAGGGAACAUUAAGUAGGUGGUUACAGAUAUUUUCUUUCUUGGUGCAGGCAGCAUUGACACAACAGUGUACCUGAACUCCUAGGCAUACAAAUGCUGACUGCAUUUGCUUUGUUGUUUAUGGAGAUAGAGUCUCAUGUAUCCCAUGCUGGCCUCCAACUUGCUAUGUAGCUGAGGAUACCCCUGACUCUCACUCUUCCAGGUACUGGGAUAACAUAAUCACACCACACAGCAUUUUGUGUGGUGCUUGGUGUCAGAUCCAGGGCUCUGUGCAUGUUUGGCAAGCAUUCUACUAACCGAGCCACAUCCUAGUCUAAUCAUACUGAUUUUAGAAAUUAUUUACCUUUUAUAUGUUCAAAUACCAUAGAGAAUAAUAUUUUCAUGAAAUUCCACAACAUAUUAAACAAGAUUUUAAGAUAAUUUAUUCCAUGAUCUAACUACAUGUGCACAUGUAGAAUAUGUGUAACCAUAUGAUUAUCAUGUAAUCUGGUUUCAUGUACACACACAUGUAUGUUUCCAUGUACACACGUGUAUUGUUUGAAAUAUCCCAGGGUUUGAACAAAAUGUACCCUGUAAUUACCUUGUGAGCAAUUUCUGUUUUCUUUUUUAUGCUUUUCUAUAUUACCAGAUGUUCCUUAAUGAACACUUUUAUAUUCACAAACAAAUUAAAUAAAAUCAAGCAUAUCUCCUUUCCUGUUUUGCCAACUCCAGCAGAUCUGGGAGGUGGAACUGGACUCCGAGAUGGGAUUCAGAGAACACCCCAACUCCAUCAAAGUGAGAUGGCUGCAGGGAAAAUGGCUUUGGUCUGGAACACCCAACCCUCUGCCCUUGGCUUUGUCCCUACUGAGCCCUGCAGAGCUAACGUGCUCUGUGGGCAAGGGGAGCCCGGAGAGCCCUGUCCCAGGCAGACCUUUCUGAUUGCAGGGCUGACCUCCGGCCAUGUGCACCUCUCUGGGAACAGCUGCCUUCUGUAUUGCCCUGCCCAGCAUAGGGUUUGGGUUCAGAUCUUGUUGGUCACCCUGACACCUCAAGGGCUAGAGGCAAUAGCACUGACAACACAGGUGGGACGAGCCUGUGUCAGUGACUGAGCAUAAGCCCAUCCACUUGUAACCCUGAAAGCUUAAGGCUAUUGUUUGGGGCACCUGAAGCUUUAGAUGAGGGGUAACUGGCCCAGAGAAUGUUGACCUGCAGUUGGUGAACUUAACCCCUUGUCUGGGCUUCCAGUUCUUAUAAUUUCAGUUCCCAUGAAUCUCUGGAUCCAGUAGCCGAUUAAGGUGGUUCGGGUUUAGGGUCUGGAUUCUUGUGGGUCUGUGGCUAGGCUUUGAAGUUGACUGUGAGCGUCUCUCGGAACAGGACUCUGCCUUUAUUAAAAGCUGCUGGGGACCAGUGUUCACCACCCACCCUCUCCUGCCUGCUGGUCUCACAAGGCUGCUGGGAGAGACACCGGGUGGCUCUGGUUUCCCUCCCCUCCCUGAUUGUUGGAGCAGAUUCUGUUAGCAGCCUGUGAGUAUAAAUAAGAGCCUGAAACUGUUAAAAAUAAUUUUUUUUAACCAAGUCUCAAAUAGGAAAGCUGAGGCACAGAAGGUUAAGGACACAGUGUGAUUCGGAGUCUCUAGUCAGCAGCAAAUGCCACGGUGUCUAGUCCUGGAGAACAGCCGGCCUUAGAGGCCAGGUUUAUGCCUAGUGUGAAGACAGCCCACAGUAUGCUCAGCUAGGUGUCCCUGAAGGGUAUAGGCUGGUCACUGGUUCUGCUCAGAGUCUCCAAUGAGGUCCCAUUAUGUUUUGCUUUCUCUCUCUUUGUCUCUCUCUGUCUCUGUCUCCCUCUCUCCCUCUCUGUCUCUCCCUCUCCAGCCCUUCCUCCCUCUCUUCCUCUUUCUCUCUCUCUCCCUCCCCAUCUCACUCCCCUUAUAUGGCAAACAACCCUCUCUGAGUUAGUCUCUCAUCGGUGUGUGGUGCUGAAGUUAAUCCAUUACUUAUUUAUUAUGAGUGUGCGUAUGUGUGCAGGCCCGUGCCUGUCGCAUCAUGUGUGCGGAAGGUCAGAGGACAAUUUGGAGGAGUCUCUUUUCUCCCCGUACCAUGUAGGUUCCAAGGGGAUCAAGCUCCGAGCCUCAGGCUUCAAAUGGCAGCAAGCACUUUCCCCAGGUCAACUCUCUGGAGGACCCAUACUGCUGCUGUCAUGUGAGAACAAGGGAUGUCUGGGAGUGUUGGCUUGUGCUUAUAACCUCAUCACGCGGGAGGCCAGGAGUGAAGCUAUGCUGCAUCUGAGGCCAGGAUGAUUGACAUGGGGAGCUGCAGGAUAGCCGGGGCCGUGUAGUGAGACUGUCUGGGCAGCCAGUGUGUGUGUGUAUUGGGAGGGGGGGUGCGGGGAGGGGCGACAGAAAGAAGAAGUGAAUGUGUAAUUCACUGGAAAUAAUGAAACAGGGCAUAGGAGCACGUGUCUAUAAUCCCAGCGCUCAGGCUGAGUCAGGAGGAUCACUCAAUCUAGGCUAGCCUGGGUUGCAUAGUGAGACCAUAUGUUAAAAAUAAAAAAGAUUGGGCUGGCGAGAUGGCUCAGCGGGUAAGAGCACUGACUGCUCUUCCGAAGGUCCUGAGUUCAAAUCCCAGCAACCACAUGGUGGCUCACAACCACCCAAAAUGAGAUCUGAUGCCCUGCCCUCUUCUGGUGCAUCUGAAGACAGCUACAGUGUACUUAUUUAUAACACUAAAUAAAUCUUUGGGCCGGAGCAAGCAGGGACUGAGCGAACAGAGUUGAUCAGAGCAAGCAGGGCUGACUGGAACGAGUGGGGUUGACCAGAGUGAGCAGAGGUCCUAAAAAUUUAAUUCCCAACAACCAUAUGAAGGCUCACAACCAUCUGUACAACUACAGUGCACUCAUACAUGAAAUAAAUCUUAAAAAAAUUAAAAAAGAAUGCAACUGACCCUGGGUCUCACUGUCAAUACAUAACCAUGAGGGUCAAGGGUGCUGGUUACUUACUGAGUGCCUAUUGCUUGCUGAUCUACUGCCACCCACACCCCCACUGGCUCCUAAGAAUACCUGCAGGCAGAAACUCUCAUCUUUCCACCUCCCCAAGGGAACGUGAGUCCCUGAGAUAGAGCAUCCACAAGGAGAGCAAGGAAUGAACCGUGUGGCUUCAGUCCCUAUAGUCCCACCAGUGCCACCACAGCCUCUCCCUUGUAAGACACGUAUUCUCUGAAAACAUAGUAAAUUAGCACGGAAUUUUUUUUUUCUCAUCUACCCAGGAUUUGAAAUCAUUUCUGUAGGCAGAACUCAGUAACAGAAACACCAAUGAGAUGCACUUGCAUUGUGGCAUUGUGAACCUACAGCCACAGUCAGGGCUGGGUGCUUAGUUCUCAGAGCCCAGAACAAGAUGAAAAGGCAGCUCUGAGCUAAAAAGUGAUUCAGGUUCCUGGGCAGGUGAUGGCUGACAAGUAUAGGUUCCUUUGUGCACGUGGCCCUGUGGAACUGAGUAUGCUGCAGCCCUGCGUGGCCAGCCCGGGUAGGUAAUUAUUUUCCAUCUUUGUGGUCUUUCCCCAGCCCCACUCUUUUUCUUCUUUUUCUUUUUCUUUUUCUUUUUCUUUUUCUUUUUCUUUUUCUUUUUCUUUUUCUUUUUCUUUUUCUUUUUCUUUUUCUUUUUCUUUUUCUUUUUCUUCUUCUUCUUCUUUUUCUUUUCCUUUUCCUUUUCCUUUUUCUUUUUCUUUCUUUUUCUUUUUCUUUUUUUGGUCAGGUUCUUAUAUAACCCAGUCUAGCCUUGGACAGAUUAUGUAACCAAGAAUGACUCCUAACUGUCCUGUUUCUACCUCCCAAAUGAUGGGAUUAUAGGUGUGGCCAUCACUCCUGUUUGAUGCAGUGCUAGGGAUCAAACCCAGGGCUUCAAGCACACCAAAUAAAUACCCUACUAACUGAGCAUAUUUCCAGCCAACACCACCACCACCACCAUCAUCAUUAUUUCGUCCCUCUUAUAUGUUCCUCCUUUGUUUAUUUUUGAAGAAGUUUUUAAAGAUUUAUUUUAAUUUUUUAUGUGUAUAGGCAUUUUGCCUGUAAGUAUGUCUGUGUCCCAUGUGUGUACAGUGCCCCUUGGAGACCAGAGUCAGGUGUUAGAUUCCCUGGAACUGCAGUUGCAGACAGUCAUAAGCCCUCAUGUAUGUGCUGGGAAUCAAACUCAGGUCCUCUGAAAGAGCAGCAGCCAGUCAGCAGCAGUGCUCUUGACCACUGAGCCAUCUCUCCAGCCUCAAGAUUUUUUUUUUUAUCUUUUUAAAAGAUAAUAGCCAUGGCUGGGCUGAACCUUGCUGUGUAGUCCAGGCUGGCCUCAAACUCAUAUAUACCUGUUUCUGCCUCCUGAGUGCUGGGAUUAAAGGUAUGUGACAUCAUGCUCUAUUCUGGAGAUUCAUUUUUAAGUGUGUGUGUGUUUGCACGUGUGUGUGUGUGUGUGUGUGUGUGUGUGUGUAUGUGUGUAUAUGUGCACUCGAGCACGCUCAGGCACUCAGGCAUCUGAUGAGCCCAGAUGAGGAUGUCAUAUACCCUGGAGCUGGAGUUAUAGGCAGUUGUGAUCUGCCUGGUGGGAAAACACAGGUCCUCUAGAAGAGCAGUGCCAGUUUUCACCCAUUUCUUUCUUCAGCCCACUUUGGUUUUGAGAGUUUCUCACCACGCAGCUCAGAGUGCCUCAAAGUCACAGCUUUUCUACUUUGAUUCUGAAACAUUAGGUUACAGGUCCUUUGGGACAAACUGAGCAUUUUGGAUGCAUUGAAAAAUACACUGUGGGCUCACAGACUCCGCUGUCCCUGUUGUCGCUUGCCACGGCCAUGGUCAGUCCCACUUCGGUGCUGAUGGUGUGAGCCUUUGCUGACAAAAUUCCAAAGGCAACCAAAAAACCAUUCAUGAUCUGAGCACCAGAGAGAAAACUUAGGCCGUAAGAGCUCCCUUUCACGGCGUUAUUUCAGGAUUCACAGGCCAGGGUGGCGACUUCGCAUAAUGGCAGCGGAUCCAUCUGCAGGGAGAGAUUUGAGGGUGAGAACUUUGUCCUGAAGCAUUUGGGUCCUGACAUCUUGUCCGUGGCGAGCACUGAACAAUACACAAACAGUGCCCAGUUCCUCAUCUGCACUGCAAGGCUCGGGUAGCUAGAUGGCAAACAUAUGGGCUUUGGGAAGCUGAAAGUAGACCUGAACGUCACAGAAGCCAUUAGAGCGGUUUAGGAACGGCAAGACCAGCAAGAAGGUCACCAUUGCCCACUGUGGGCGACUCUGAUUCUUCUGACUUUUGGGCAUCUUACCCACCAGGCCAUUCCUUCUGUAGCUCAGGAGGGUGUCCCCACCAUGUCUACCCCAUAGUCUCUGCUCCCACGGGGUCCCAUAUAUUCCUCAUUUGCCUCCGAGUCUUAACAGUCCCCUGCAAAGUUAAGUUUAUGACUAUGGAUAAAAACUAAAUAAGGGGGAAAAAGGAAAUGAAAAUAUCAAAUGGGGUUUCCCGAAAGGAUGCCAGCAGAGAAAGCAGGCAGGCUUCCCCCUUAAAACAGAGCAUAACUUAGACUGAAUUCUCUUGAAAUGACCGCCCUGCUUUCAUGGAAUUUCCCCUGCUCUGCGGUGGAGUCAUUGCGGCAACUGUCUCAGGACUUGUGGAUACAACUGGUUACUUUGAAAACAGUGGGACACGUCAUCCUGCACUCUUAGAACAGGAUUUCCAGCUUCGCUGGUAGGCAAUAACACCCCCACCCCCCACCUCCACACAUGAAGCCCCUGGGAACGCUGGGAACAUACUGUAAACCUGUGGAGGCCAAAGUGUCUCUGAGCUCUUAGAUAGGUGCCUCGCUUUCUUAACUAGCCCCUGGCUCCACCCACUGUGUCCCUAGUCCCAUGCCAGGUAGGUUAGCCAGUAUCACCGCAGGCUCCAACGCUAAGCUCUUCUAAGUGACCUGUGUAAACUGACUCUUUCACAAAGAACUGAAAUGAAGAGAUCCACUUGGCAGAGAGGUGCGGACAGGCCACCACCACUCACUUUUGUGGAAGAAAAGAACGCAUCCUUCCUUACCCCACCCUCACCCACGUCCAGAUUGGGGUCUGGACCCUUCUUAUUUUCCCCUUAGGAAAAAGACAAAACAAAACAAAAAA
rnacentral:lncRNA from 1 species